ensembl:lncRNA
AGACAGGGUAGAGAUGGAAGGAAGACAGGGGAGAGAUGGUAAUGAGACAGGGUAGAGAUGGAAGGGAGACAGGGGAGAGAUGGAAGGGAGACAGGGGAGAGAUGGUAGGGAGACAGGGGAGAGAUGGAAGGGAGACAGGGGAGAGAUGGUAAUGAGACAGGGGAGAGAUGGUAAUGAGACAGGGGAGAGAUGGUAAUGAGACAGGGAGAGAUGGUAAUGAGACAGGGGAGAGAUGGAAGGGUAGAGAUGGAAGGGUAGAGAUGGAAGGGUAGAGAUGGAAGGGUAGAGAUGGAAGGGAGACAGGGGAGAGAUGGUAGGGAGACAGGGUAGAGAUGGAAGGGAGACAGGGGAGAGAUGGUAGUGAGACAGGGGAGAUAUGGAAGGGAGACAGGGGAGAGAUGGGAGGGAGACAGGGGAGAGAUGGAAGGGAGACAGGGGAGAGAUGGAAGGGAGACAAGGUAGAGAUGGUAGGGAGACAGGGGAGAGAUGGAAGGGAGACAGGGGAGAGAUGGAAGGAGACAUGGGAGAUAUGGAAGGGAGACAGGGUAGAGAUGGAAGGGAGACAGGGGAGAGAUGGAAGGGGAGAGAUGGAAGGGGAGAGAUGGUAGGGAGACAGGGGAGAUAUGGAAGGGAGACAGGGGAGAGAUGGAAGGGAGACAGGGGAGAGAUGGUAAUGAGACAGGGGAGAGAUGGUAAUGAGACAGGGGAGAGAUGGAAGGGAGACAGGGGAGAGAUGGUAAUGAGACAGGGGAGAGAUGGAAGGGAGACAGGGGAGAUAUGGAAGGGAGACAGGGAGAGAUGGAAGGGGAGAGAUGGAAGGGGAGAGAUGGUAGGGAUACAGGGGAGAGAUGGUAGGGAUACAGGGAGAGAUGGAAGGGGAGAGACGGAAGGGGAGAGAUGGUAGGGAUACAGGGGAGAGAUGGAAGGGUAGAGAUGGAAGGGGAGAGAUGGUAGGGAGACAGGGGAGAGAUGGAAGUGGAGAGAUGGUAGGGAGACAGGGGAGAUAUGGAAGGGAGACAGGGGAGAGAUGGAAGGGUAGAGAUGGAAGGGUAGAGAUGGAAGGAGACAGGGGAGAGAUGGAAGGGAGACAGGGGAGAGAUGGAAGGGUAGAGAUGGAAGGAGUCAGGGUAGAGAUGGUAGGGAGACAGGGGAGAGAUGCUAGGGAGACAGGGUAGAGAUGGAAGG